UACGUAGGGGCCUAGCGUUGUCCGGAUUUAUUGGGCGUAAAGAGCUCGUAGGCGGCUCGUCGCGUCAGCUGUGAAAACCCGCGGCUUAACCGUGGGCUUGCAGCUGAUACGGGCGGGCUAGAGUUCGGUAGGGGAGACUGGAAUUCCUGGUGUAGCGGUGAAAUGCGCAGAUAUCAGGAGGAACACCGGUGGCGAAGGCGGGUCUCUGGGCCGAUACUGACGCUGAGGAGCGAAAGCGUGGGGAGCGAACAGG
rnacentral:rRNA from 1 species